rnacentral:rRNA from 1 species
UACGUAGGGCGCAAGCGUUUAUCCGGAAUUAUUGGGCGUAAAGAGCUCGUAGGCGGUUUGUCGCGUCUGCCGUGAAAGUCCGGGGCUCAACUCCGGAUCUGCGGUGGGUACGGGCAGACUAGAGUGAUGUAGGGGAGACUGGAAUUCCUGGUGUAGCGGUGAAAUGCGCAGAUAUCAAGAGGAACACCGAUGGCGAAGGCAGGUCUCUGGGCAUUAACUGACGCUGAGGAGCGAAAGCAUGGGGAGCGAACAGG